GGAGGUUCUUCACAAACUGAAAUAAUGUCACCAGGUUCCUUGAAAUCCGUUGAUAAAUAGUCUUGGCACACGGGUUCUAAGUGGGACUCUUGUUCACUAUAAUGAGUCACACCCAGAUCUUCGUCAAUAGGUUCUGACUCGACCAGAGGUUCUUCACAAGCAGGAAUAAUAGGCGCACUCGCUUUUACUACUGGUUCAUUGAAAUCCGUUGGAGGAUAAUCUUGGGAGAUAGAUUUCAAGUUAAGCACCUCCAAUUCUGGUUUACUGUAGUGAGUUUCUCUUUCAUUUAAGUUUGUCAAAGGAUGGUCUUGUUGAACAACUUCUAAAUUCGACCCCUCCAACUGUGGUUCACUGUAAAUUUGAUCCUCGUCAUUAUUUACUUCCUUGGGUUCUUUGGUAAGAAUUCCAGGAUGUCUCUCAAUGGGAGGUUCUUCACAAACUGAAAUAAUGUCACCAGGUUCCUUGAAAUCCGUUGAUAAAUAGUCUUGGCACACGGGUUCUAAGUGGGACUCUUGUUCACUAUAAUGAGUCACACCCAGAUCUUCGUCAAUAGGUUCUGACUCGACCAGAGGUUCUUCACAAGCAGGAAUAAUAGGCGCACUCGCUUUUACUACUGGUUCAUUGAAAUCCGUUGGAGGAUAAUCUUGGGAGAUAGAUUUCAAGUUAAGCACCUCCAAUUCUGGUUUACUGUAGUGAGUUUCUCUUUCAUUUAAGUUUGUCAAAGGAUGGUCUUGUUGAACAACUUCUAAAUUCGACCCCUCCAACUGUGGUUCACUGUAAAUUUGAUCCUCGUCAUUAUUUACUUCCUUGGGUUCUUUGGUAAGAAUUCCAGGAUGUCUCUCAAUGGGAGGUUCUUCACAAACUGAAAUAAUGUCACCAGGUUCCUUGAAAUCCGUUGAUAAAUAGUCUUGGCACACGGGUUCUAAGUGGGACUCUUGUUCACUAUAAUGAGUCACACCCAGAUCUUCGUCAAUAGGUUCUGACUCGACCAGAGGUUCUUCACAAGCAGGAAUAAUAGGCGCACUCGCUUUUACUACUGGUUCAUUGAAAUCCGUUGGAGGAUAAUCUUGGGAGAUAGAUUUCAAGUUAAGCACCUCCAAUUCUGGUUUACUGUAGUGAGUUUCUCUUUCAUUUAAGUUUGUC